UACGUAGGGGGCAAGCGUUGUCCGGAAUCAUUGGGCGUAAAGCGCGUGUAGGCGGUUCAGUAAGUCUGCUGUGAAAGUCCAGGGCUCAACCCUGGGAUGCCGGUGGAUACUGCUGGACUAGAGUGCGGAAGAGGCGAGUGGAAUUCCCGGUGUAGCGGUGAAAUGCGCAGAUAUCGGGAGGAACACCAAUUGCGAAGGCAGCUCGCUGGGACGUUACUGACGCUGAGGCGCGAAAGCGUGGGGAGCAAACAGG
rnacentral:rRNA from 1 species